rnacentral:rRNA from 1 species
ACGCCGCGUGAGCGAUGAAGGCCUUCGGGUCGUAAAGCUCUGUUGUUAGGGAAGAACAAGUGCUAGUUGAAUAAGCUGGCACCUUGACGGUACCUAACCAGAAAGCCACGGCUAACUACGUGCCAGCAGCCGCGGUAAUACGUAGGUGGCAAGCGUUAUCCGGAAUUAUUGGGCGUAAAGCGCGCGCAGGUGGUUUCUUAAGUCUGAUGUGAAAGCCCACGGCUCAACCGUGGAGGGUCAUUGGAAACUGGGAGACUUGAGUGCAGAAGAGGAAAGUGGAAUUCCAUGUGUAGCGGUGAAAUGCGUAGAGAUAUGGAGGAACACCAGUGGCGAAGGCGACUUUCUGGUCUGCAACUGACACUGAGGCGCGAAAGCGUGGGGAGCAAACAGGAUUAGAUACCCUGGUAGUCCACGCCGUAAACGAUGAGUGCUAAGUGUUAGAGGGUUUCCGCCCUUUAGUGCUGAAGUUAACGCAUUAAGCACUCCGC